rnacentral:rRNA from 1 species
UACGUAGGGUGCGAGCGUUAAUCGGAAUUACUGGGCGUAAAGUGUGCGCAGGCGGCAGAGCAAGUCGAGUGUGAAAGCCCCGGGCUUAACUUGGGAAUUGCGCUCGAAACUACUUUGCUGGAGUGUGGCAGAGGAAGGUGGAAUUCCACGUGUAGCGGUGAAAUGCGUAGAGAUGUGGAGGAACACCAAUGGCGAAGGCAGCCUCCUGGGCCAACACUGACGCUCAUGCACGAAAGCGUGGGAGCAAACAGG